UAAGUUCCCUGGAAAGGGGCGCCA
rnacentral:siRNA from 1 species